rnacentral:rRNA from 1 species
ACGGAAGGCUGCAGUGAGGAAUAUUGGUCAAUGGGCGUAAGCCUGAACCAGCCAAGUAGCGUGAGGGAUGACUGCCCUACGGGUUGUAAACCUCUUUUGUUUGGGAAUAAAUGAGACUACGUGUAGUCUUUUGCAUGUACCUUUCGAAUAAGCAUCGGCUAAUUCCGUGCCAGCAGCCGCGGUAAUACGGAAGAUGCGAGCGUUAUCCGGAUUUAUUGGGUUUAAAGGGAGCGUAGGCGGCCUUUUAAGUCUGCGGUCAACUGUCAGGGCCCAGCCGUGGCAUGCCGUGGAUACUGAUGGGCUUGAAUACACACAAGGCAAGUGGAAUUCGUCGUGUAGCGGUGAAAUGCUUAGAUAUGACGAAGAACUCCGAGUGCGAAGGCAGCUUGCUGGGGUGCGAUUGACGCUGAGGCUCGAAAGUGCGGGAAUCAAACAGGAUUAGAUACCCUGGUA